rnacentral:lncRNA from 1 species
AACCAGGGGUGCGGGCUGGCCAAAGCCGGAGCCCGGAGUUCCCUCCCGGGUGACCCCCAAGGGCAUUCGUCGGAAUCAGCCGCCCCCAGCCACCCCGAUAAUCCGCCUUAUACGGGGACAAAAGAUUGACUGAGUGGAGCGGGGCGGGGCCCAGGGGUCCUGACGCCCGCAGAGGAGCUGGGAUCAACAUGGGAGGCGCCGAGAGUGGAAUCAUUGUCCGUCGGAAAACAUCUCGCAGGCGGAACCGGCCGAACGCGGCGCGGUGGGAGCGGAACCCCGAGAGGGGAUGAGCGCAUCCCGCGGGAAGCUGCCUGGCCUAUUCUUACAGAACCCGAGCAAAACACCUCCCACGCGCCACCUCGGGAGAGAAGGCGGAAUGAGUAAUGGAAAAGCAUGACUUGGUGGGCAUUCCACUUGUCUCCUUGGGAGACCGCGGAAGGGCUGUGAGGAGAGGAACAAACGCUUUGCACCGUCCCUGAGUUAACGAGCCCAGCCCCCUUCUGGGAGAUGCCCUUGAAGGAGGGAGAGUGGAAGUUAGAAACCCGGAGGACACAAAAGCACGAGCAGUGAUUUCUUUAAAAUCAGAUUUAGAUUCAGCUGGAAAGAAAAAUC